AGGGUGAGUCCUCAUAGUCCACCAUAGGAGCCCCGGAAAGUGUGGGCCCCCGUGGUGAAAAUUCACCCUGUGGUGCCGUCUCAUCUGCCGUCUCAGGCUGGAGAGGGGACCAGUCGGGGGUCGCGGAAGAGUAACGAGGGGACAUCACCGAAGAAAGCCCCCGCUCCUGUUCUUCAUCCCGAAAGUCGAUCAGGAGAGGCGAGGAGGCCGUGGGUCCCCCUGGUGAUCCCAGAGGAAGCCUCCUGCGAGAUGCAGGAAUAAGCUGGGUGGGCGGAGCCUCGCCGAGGGUGUCCUGGGCAGGCCCGCUGUCCGUGGCCCGGGGCUGUGUCACCCUCUGCUCCUUGGGUGGUUCCGGUCGACGAGGAAGGAAGAUCGGGGCAACCCGUGCUGGAGGGAUUGCUUCCCGAUCCACCUCAGGAGACCAAUCUGGAGCCACGGCGUCGGUGCUGGUAGCCACCGAGACCCGGGCGACGACCCGAGCCGGAGGGCUGCUAGCCCGUACCACCCCAGGAGCCCCGUCAGGGCCCGUAGGGUCAGUAUGGGUGCCCACCGAUACCCGGGUGGCGGUCUGGACCGGCAAGGACUGGGCCGGGCGUACCACCUCCGCGUUGACAGGGGGGUCGGCGAAGGCCGCGACGAUCAGAGCCUCGGCCUUCCCGAGGGUGUCCCCCAUCAGUCUGCGUCCCAGAUGUUUCUUGGCCCAUGUAGAGGCCAGCUGAAAAGCGGGUCUCCAAACCUCGUCAAUAAAACUGGUUAUCUUGUCCAA